rnacentral:rRNA from 1 species
UGCAAGUCGAACGGAGCUUAGAGAGCUUGCUUUUUAAGCUUAGUGGCGAACGGGUGAGUAACGCGUGAGUAACCUGCCUCAAAGAGGGGGACAACAGUUGGAAACGACUGCUAAUACCGCAUGAGACCACAACACCGCAUGAUGAAGGGGUCAAAGAUUUAUCGCUUUGAGAGGGGUUCGCGUCCCAUUAGGUAGUUGGAGGGGUAACGGCCCACCAAGCCAACGAUGGGUAGCCGGACUGAGAGGUUGAACGGCCACAUUGGGACUGAGAUACGGCCCAGACUCC